AGCUUUCAGAGGAGUCAACGUGGACACUGUGAACAUGAAGAAUGAGGAGAGCCAAAUGCCAGAUUCUCAGCUUGGCAUUGGCUUCACAACAAGGACCACUUUGAACAGACUUGUUGAAGCUGGUGAAGUCUCCCGAUUCAGCAAAGAGGUUCCAUGCUGCAGCAAGGAGUUUCUUCAAAACAGCAGUGGAGUAUGCCAUAGCUAAGCUCCCACUGAAUGAUCCAGUGCUACAACACUCCAAGUUUGUGGACUUCAAGCAAAAAAUGGAUGCCACUGUCGAUGAUAUGCUGUACUUUGUUCAAAGAUUCAACCAUCUCCUGCCCUAUGAUCAGCCAAG